GGCUUAUAUAUACAGUGUAUAUACCCUUUGACAUGCGUACACAACACGUCUGCGCCUCCUUUUAUCAAGGCAACAGAUUUUGGUGAAUUGUACAUCAGAAUCCUUGUUUAGUAUUCGACCAGAGGAAGCAGGACAUCACCACCCGUACGACUCAAGGUCCUAUGCGCCGCUUGUAAACACAAGGCGAAUUGUUCAUAUUUAACCAGAUAAAAGACAGCUAUGCCUUUUCCUUUUUAAUUAUUAAGCCGUCCCUCAGCUCCACCUGUCCUGAGAUUCCCUGAAUAAUUUAUGGCGGAUUAAAGCCACGCUUUGUAAAAGACUGGACUCCAAGAGGCAACGUUGUGAAUUAUGGGGCCGAUUUAUUUGAUAAAACACAUCUCAGGGUUGGACCUGCAUCGGUGUUUGAAGGCUGACACUGAUGCAGGUGGACGUGAGGCUGCUGACUGCUUGUGUUUUGUGCUGAAGAGUUCCUGCUGUUCCUCUUUAAUCCGUGGAGGCUCUGGUUCCCCCUGCUCCAGACUGGAGUUCCUCUCCUGGUUACAGGGCUGCUCGUCGACAAGAACCUCCUCCUUCUCACCGUCAUGUUGCUGAGCCAACUUCCACCAAAGGAGAACAGGAUGGCAUCCAACAGUUUGCGCUGACGCUCGAUCCUUUCCUCGUAUCGUCCCGCGGUUUCUUCGAAUAACGUGAAUAUCUCGUCGGCGGCGGCGGUUAAUCGGUCGUUGAUCAACCGCCUCAGAUACUGAACCGAAGAC